rnacentral:siRNA from 1 species
CAGGUUGGUGACAAUGAACCUGUA